UACGAAGGGGGCUAGCGUUGCUCGGAAUUACUGGGCGUAAAGCGCACGUAGGCGGUUUCUUAAGUCGGUGGUGAAAUCCUGGAGCUCAACUCCAGAACUGCCUUCGAUACUGGGAAGCUUGAGUCCGGGAGAGGUGAGUGGAACUGCGAGUGUAGAGGUGAAAUUCGUAGAUAUCGGGAGGAACACCAGUGGCGAAGGCGGCGACCUGGGCCAAUACUGACGCUGAGGUGCGAAAGCGUGGGGAGCAAACAGG
rnacentral:rRNA from 1 species